AUUGAACGCUAGCGGGAUGCCUUACACAUGCAAGUCGAACGGAGUGGCGAACGGGUGAGUAAUGUAUCGGAACGUGCCCCGUAGCGGGGGAUAACUACAAGAAAGCGUAGCUAAUCCCGCAUACUAUUGGAGCGGCCGAUAUCGGAUUAGCUAGUGGUUGGGGUAACGGCCCACCCAGGCGACGAUCCGUAGCUGGGUUGAGAGGACGACCAGCCACACUGGGACUGAGACACGGCCCAGACUCCGACGGGAGGCAGCAGUGGGGAAUUUUGGACAAUGGGUGCAACCCUGAUCCAGCCAGCCCGCGUGUGCGAUGAAGGCCUUCGGGUUGUAAAGCACUUUUGGCAGGAAAGCGGUACCUGCAGAAUAAGCACCGGCUAACUACGUGCCAGCAGCCGCGGUAAUAC
rnacentral:rRNA from 1 species